UUGUAGAAGUACCGUCCUGCACCACUUAAGAACGCAUGGAUCUAGCAAAAGCUCGUCAAAGUCUGCAGAAGAAGGAAAUAGACUUGUGGAUGAAGGGCUUACGGUGUCCAGAGAAUCGGCUCCCAGGUAAGCGAUUUUUGACUCUCCGUUUACAACAGCAUCUUCUGGCAAAGCUAGCUGCUUCCUCACUAUUUCGCACACUUUAUCUAGCGUCUCCUUUUUAGCCUGCUCAUAUAUCGAGUUGGUCAUUCACAAGUUUAAAACCUACGUAUGGGCUUCGCUCCGAGCAGCUACAAAAUUGGCAAGACCAAUUCAAGCAUUCCCCCAUGAGCAAGACAAUGAUAGGCUUGAACCUGGUAUGAACAAACUCCUGCUCAUCCCCUUUCCCCAGAAGC
rnacentral:lncRNA from 1 species